GCACUCUCAGUAUCACACCUGGAGAGUUUACAGUAUUCUACCCGUCUCGACUAUGGGAGGGAGAGUCAAGCAGAGGCACACCCAUUCCAUUCCUAGCUUGGCCAGUGGCUAGUGGGUGGAAGACAAUCUGCUACAAGU
rfam:Ornithorhynchus anatinus chromosome 7, whole genome shotgun sequence.